rnacentral:tRNA from 1 species
UAGAUUUUAAGUUAAAAAAACUGUAAAUUUUCAAAAUUUAAAAUAAGGUAUUUCUUAAAUCUAG